UAUAGCUUUUUAAUUUCUCUCUUUCUAUAGUUUUCUUCAUAGAGUUUUUUUUUUUCAUUUUCUUAAAUGCUUUCAAGCUUUGUUUUCACCAUCAAUCCUUCAAUUGCAGAUUUCACCAUCAAUGCAGAUUUCAUGUAUGGUCAAGAUUAGAAGUUAGAGUCAUGUGAUCUUUAAUGUGUUUUUCUGGCUGUUUCUCGCUUGCAGGGAUGAUUUCCCCAACUUGCAAUUUCUAUUUUCUUUUGCCCUCCGAGUGACUUUGACGGUUCAAAGGUUGUGGAAUCUAACUUUGACUAUUUUUUACCCAAGUAGCUAUCUGAUUUUGUUAUCGAUUAAAUGAUUAUGCCUUUCUUAAAUACAAGUGAAAGAGCAGGAGAGAAAUUUAUAUGCGUGAAGCCAGAAUUUUUGGAUUUGUAUGUGAAAAGAACAUCUCAAUAUGUAUAUGGUUUUUUACUUUCUAUAAACUCAGUAGUUGUGUUUGGUAGCUGGUUGCCCAGUGAUAGUCCAUUGAUUAUAAUAGUUCAUUGGAGAACUCAAUGAUCAUACCUCAUUCCUCGAAAGAAAAAGCAGAAAUCUGGAAAGUUGAUUCCUAUACUUUUGGUGGAACAACAAUAAAGCUCAUGAUGAUUACAUGAUGUUCUUGAUCCUUUUAAGUUAAUGGAACUAUAGAGGUGGUGAACUGUUUAUGCUUUGUCUGAAAGACUUCGGAAGUGGAUUAAUAGAUCUAGAAGUAUGAUUUCACAAUGGUGUUAGCUUGGCACGGGCUCAAGAUGCAAGUUGAUUGUUUCACAUUAUGUCAGAUGAAAGUAGUGACCUGAUAGGUUAUUGGCUAUUCAUUUUUAUUAGUUUCUGGGGUUGGAGGAAGGGAAUGAAUUUCAAAUUAAGAUAGUUUCAUCUGUUCAACUUUGAUGUGGUUUUAUGGCAGGACUCUUUGUAAAAAUACUUGGUUUAUUGUCACCUAUGUAUUAGUAAAGUUGAUAAUAAAUUUUGUUGAUUUUAUCA